AGAGUUUGAUCCUGGCUCAGGAUGAACGCUGGCGGCGUGCCUAAUACAUGCAAGUCGAGCGAACCACUUCGGUGGUGAGCGGCGAACGGGUGAGUAACACGUAGGUGAUCUGCCCACCAGACGGGGACAACGAUUGGAAACGAUCGCUAAUACCGGAUAGGACGAAAGUUUAAAGGUGCUUCUGGCACCGCUGAUGGAUGAGCCUGCGGCGCAUUAGCUAGUUGGUAGGGUAAAGGCCUACCAAGGCGACGAUGCGUAGCCGACCUGAGAGGGUGAACGGCCACACUGGGACUGAGACACGGCCCAGACUCCUACGGGAGGCAGCAGUAGGGAAUCUUCGGCAAUGGGCGAAAGCCUGACCGAGCAACGCCGCGUGAAUGAUGAAGGCCUUCGGGUUGUAAAAUUCUGUUAUAAGGGAAGAACGACUUUAGUAGGAAAUGGCUAGAGUGUGACGGUACCUUAUGAGAAAGCCACGGCUAACUACGUGCCAGCAGCCGCGGUAAUACGUAGGUGGCGAGCGUUAUCCGGAAUUAUUGGGCGUAAAGAGCGCGCAGGUGGUUGAUUAAGUCUGAUGUGAAAGCCCACGGCUUAACCGUGGAGGGUCAUUGGAAACUGGUCGACUUGAGUGCAGAAGAGGGAAGUGGAAUUCCAUGUGUAGCGGUGAAAUGCGUAGAGAUAUGGAGGAACACCAGUGGCGAAGGCGGCUUCCUGGUCUGUAACUGACACUGAGGCGCGAAAGCGUGGGGAGCAAACAGGAUUAGAUACCCUGGUAGUCCACGCCGUAAACGAUGAGUGCUAAGUGUUGGGGGUCGAACCUCAGUGCUGAAGUUAACGCAUUAAGCACUCCUCCUGGGGAGUACGGUCGCAAGACUGAAACUCAAAGGAAUUGACGG
rnacentral:rRNA from 1 species